rnacentral:rRNA from 1 species
CCUACGGGAGGCAGCAGUGAGGAAUAUUGGUCAAUGGACGAGAGUCUGAACCAGCCAAGUAGCGUGAAGGAAGACUGCCCUAUGGGUUGUAAACUUCUUUUAUAUGGGAAUAAAAUGUUCCACGUGUGGGAUUUUGUAUGUACCAUUUGAAUAAAGAUCGGCUAACUCCGUGACAGCAGCCGCGGUAAUACGGAGGAACCGAGCGUUAUCCGGAUUUAUUGGGUUUAAAGGGAGCGUAGGGGGCGUGUUAAGUCAGUUGUGAAAGUUUGCGGCUCAACCGUAAAAGUGCAGUUGAAACUGGCAGUCUUGAGUACAGUAGAGGUGGGCGGAAUGCGUGGUGUAGCGGUGAAAUGCUUAGAUAUCACGAAGAACUCCGAUUGCGAAGGCAGUUCACUGGACUGCAACUGACACUGAGGCUCGAAAGUGUGGGUAUCAAACAGGAUUAGAUACCCGAGUAGUC